GUGGGGAAUAUUGGACAAUGGGCGAAAGCCUGAUCCAGCCAUGCCGCGUGUGUGAAGAAGGUCUUCGGAUUGUAAAGCACUUUAAGUUGGGAGGAAGGGCAUUAACCUAAUACGUUAGUGUUUUGACGUUACCGACAGAAUAAGCACCGGCUAACUCUGUGCCAGCAGCCGCGGUAAUACAGAGGGUGCAAGCGUUAAUCGGAAUUACUGGGCGUAAAGCGCGCGUAGGUGGUUCGUUAAGUUGGAUGUGAAAUCCCCGGGCUCAACCUGGGAACUGCAUCCAAAACUGGCGAGCUAGAGUAGGGCAGAGGGUGGUGGAAUUUCCUGUGUAGCGGUGAAAUGCGUAGAUAUAGGAAGGAACACCAGUGGCGAAGGCGACCACCUGGGCUCAUACUGACACUGAGGUGCGAAAGCGUGGGGAGCAAACAGGAUUAGAUACCCGUGUAGUCC
rnacentral:rRNA from 1 species